AUUGAACGCUGGCGGCAGGCUUAACACAUGCAAGUCGAGCGGGGAAGAGUAGCUUGCUACUUUACCUAGCGGCGGACGGGUGAGUAAUGCUUAGGAAUCUGCCUAUUAGUGGGGGACAACAUCUCGAAAGGGAUGCUAAUACCGCAUACGUCCUACGGGAGAAAGCAGGGGACCUUCGGGCCUUGCGCUAAUAGAUGAGCCUAAGUCGGAUUAGCUAGUUGGUGGGGUAAAGGCCUACCAAGGCGACGAUCUGUAGCGGGUCUGAGAGGAUGAUCCGCCACACUGGGACUGAGGCACGGCCCAGACUCCUACGGGAGGCAGCAGUGGGGAAUAUUGGACAAUGGGGGGAACCCUGAUCCAGCCAUGCCGCGUGUGUGAAGAAGGCCUUUUGGUUGUAAAGCACUUUAAGCGAGGAGGAGGCUACCGAGAUUAAUACUCUUGGAUAGUGGACGUUACUCGCAGAAUAAGCACCGGCUAACUCUGUGCCAGCCGCCGCAGUAA
rnacentral:rRNA from 1 species